UACGUAGGUGGCAAGCGUUGUCCGGAAUUAUUGGGCGUAAAGGGCGUGUAGGUGGAUGCUUAAGUCGUGUGUCUAAGUGCGGGGCUCAACCCCGUAUAGGCGCAGGAAACUGGGUAUCUUGAGUGCAGGAGAGGAAAGUGGAAUUCCCAGUGUAGCGGUGAAAUGCGUAGAUAUUGGGAGGAACACCAGUGGCGAAGGCGACUUUCUGGACUGUGUCUGACACUGAGGCGCGAAAGCUAGGGGAGCGAACGGG
rnacentral:rRNA from 1 species